rnacentral:lncRNA from 1 species
CGAGAUCCUUUCCAUGUUGGUAUAUAUCAAACGAUGUCCAUUUUUAAGUGCUUCAUAAUAUCCAUAGCGUGGUUCUCAUAAAGCGAUUAUGGCUGUUUCCCUAUUGACGUACAUUUAGAUUGCUUUUAACUUUUAACUUUAACACACACACAAAAACUGCAAUGAAGAUCCUUAUAAAUGACUUCUUGCAGAAUUAUACAAGUGUUUCUCCAAGAUAGAUCAUAAAAGUAGGGGCAGUUUUAUUUUAGUAGAUAAUGCCAAAUUUUCUGGCCACUUUUGAGAACACAUCUUUGAAGAAGAUGACGUAUGAUGAGUCAAAACUGGUUCGUAACUAUACUACCUAGUCGCAUGACCUCAGAUUCGUCAUUAGACCGAGUCCUCCCUCAAACACGGCAUUUUUUCAUAUGUCACUCUCGUUCCCUGUAUGGUGCUGACUACUUAUUAGAUCUUCUUGGCCUUUACUGACACUAAUGGAAUGAAGAUUUUACAUUCUACUUGGAAGUAUCAUAAGGUGCCUGAAAUGAGCUUCUUUCAAGGCAUUACUUAA